CCUACGGGAGGCAGCAGUGAGGAAUAUUGGUCAAUGGACGAGAGUCUGAACCAGCCAAGUAGCGUGAAGGAUGACUGCCCUAUGGGUUGUAAACUUCUUUUAUAUAGGAAUAAAAUGUUCCACGUGUGGGCUUUUGUAUGUACCAUAUGAAUAAGGAUCGGCUAACUCCGUGCCAGCAGCCGCGGUAAUACGGAGGAUCCGAGCGUUAUCCGGAUUUAUUGGGUUUAAAGGGAGCGUAGGUGGAUUGUUAAGUCAGUUGUGAAAGUUUGCGGCUCAACCGUAAAAUUGCAGUUGAAACUGGCAGUCUUGAGUACAGUAGAGGUGGGCGGAAUGCGUGGUGUAGCGGUGAAAUGCUUAGAUAUCACGAAGAACUCCGAUUGCGAAGGCAGCUCACUGGACUGCAACUGACACUGAGGCUCGAAAGUGUGGGUAUCAAACAGGAUUAGAUAUCCCAGUAGUC
rnacentral:rRNA from 1 species